rnacentral:rRNA from 1 species
GGUUAAGUGAAUAAGGGCGCACGGUGGAUGCCUUGGCACUAGGAGCCGAUGAAGGACGGGACUAACACCGAUAUGCUUUGGGGAGCUGUAAGUAAGCUAUGAUCCAGAGAUUUCCGAAUGGGGGAACCCAAUAUCUUUUAUAGGAUAUUACUUUUCAGUGAAUACAUAGCUGAUUAGAGGUAGACGCAGAGAACUGAAACAUCUUAGUACCUGCAGGAAGAGAAAGAAAAUUCGAUUCCCUGAGUAGCGGCGAGCGAAACGGGAAGAGCCCAAACCAACAAGCUUGCUUGUUGGGGUUGUAGGACUCCAAUAUGGUAGUCUGUUAGUAUAGUUGAAGGAUUUGGAAAAUUCCGCUAAAGAGGGUGAAAGCCCCGUAGACGAAAUGCUAACAACACCUAGGAGGAUCCUGAGUACGGCGGAACACGAGAAAUUCCGUCGGAAUCCGCGGGGACCAUCCCGCAAGGCUAAAUACUCCCUAGUGACCGAUAGUGAACCAGUACCGUGAGGGAAAGGUGAAAAGCACCCCGGAAGGGGAGUGAAAUAGAUCCUGAAACCGUGUGCCUACAACAAGUCAAAGCUCGUUAAUGAGUGAUGGCGUGCCUUUUGUAGAAUGAACCGGCGAGUUACGAUUGCAUGCGAGGUUAAGUCGAAGAGACGGAGCCGCAGCGAAAGCGAGUCUGAAUAGGGCGAAUGAGUAUGUAGUCGUAGACCCGAAACCAUGUGAUCUACCCAUGUCCAGGUUGAAGGUGCGGUAAAACGCACUGGAGGACCGAACCCACGUACGUUGAAAAGUGCGGGGAUGAGGUGUGGGUAGCGGAGAAAUUCCAAACGAACUUGGAGAUAGCUGGUUCUCUCCGAAAUAGCUUUAGGGCUAGCCUCGGAAUUGAGAAUGAUGGAGGUAGAGCACUGUUUGGACUAGGGGCCCAUCUCGGGUUACCGAAUUCAGAUAAACUCCGAAUGCCAUUCAUUUAUAUCCGGGAGUCAGACUGCGAGUGAUAAGAUCCGUAGUCGAAAGGGAAACAGCCCAGACCACCAGCUAAGGUCCCAAAAUAUAUGUUAAGUGGAAAAGGAUGUGGGGUUGCACAGACAACUAGGAUGUUGGCUUAGAAGCAGCCACCAUUUAAAGAGUGCGUAAUAGCUCACUAGUCGAGUGACCCUGCGCCGAAAAUGUACCGGGGCUAAACAUAUUACCGAAGCUGUGGACUACACCAUUAGGUGUAGUGGUAGGAGAGCGUUCUAAGGGCGUUGAAGGUCGAUCGUGAGGACGGCUGGAGCGCUUAGAAGUGAGAAUGCCGGUAUGAGUAGCGAAAGACAGGUGAGAAUCCUGUCCACCGUAUGACUAAGGUUUCCUGGGGAAGGCUCGUCCGCCCAGGGUUAGUCGGGACCUAAGCCGAGGCCGAUAGGCGUAGGCGAUGGACAACAGGUUGAUAUUCCUGUACCAGUUGUUUUUGUUUGAGCAAUGGAGGGACGCAGUAGGCUAAGGAAUGCAUGCGAUUGGAAGUGCAUGUCCAAGCAAUGAGUCUUGAGUAGAGUUAAAUGCUUUACUCUCUAAGGACAAGUUGUGACGGGGAGCGAAAUAAUAGUAGCGAAGUUCCUGAUGUCACACUGCCAAGAAAAGCUUCUAGUGAGAAAACAACUGCCCGUACCGUAAACCGACACAGGUAGUCGAGGAGAGUAUCCUAAGGUGAGCGAGCGAACUCUCGUUAAGGAACUCGGCAAAAUGACCCCGUAACUUCGGGAGAAGGGGUGCUGACGACCGUCAGCCGCAGUGAAUAGGCCCAAGCGACUGUUUAUCAAAAACACAGGUCUCUGCAAAAUCGUAAGAUGAAGUAUAGGGGCUGACGCCUGCCCGGUGCUGGAAGGUUAAGAGGAUGGGUUAGCUUCGGCGAAGCUCAGAAUUGAAGCCCCAGUAAACGGCGGCCGUAACUAUAACGGUCCUAAGGUAGCGAAAUUCCUUGUCGGGUAAGUUCCGACCCGCACGAAAGGCGUAACGAUUUGGGCACUGUCUCAACGAGAGACUCGGUGAAAUUUUAGUACCUGUGAAGAUGCAGGUUACCCGCGACAGGACGGAAAGACCCCAUGGAGCUUUACUGUAGUUUGAUAUUGAGUGUUUGUACCACAUGUACAGGAUAGGUAGGAGCCGAUGAGACCGGAACGCUAGUUUCGGAGGAGGCGCUGGUGGGAUACUACCCUUGUGUUAUGAA